AGAAGAAGGGCUCUAGAUCUGUUUGAAGCACUUGAUGAUGAUAAUAGUGGAACAAUCGAUUCAGAUGAGUUUAUAGAAGGCUGUAUGAGAGACACUGAGUUCGUAGAAGUUCUGAGCACUUUUGAUGGCAGUGCUAUAUUCGAUGUAAAAUAAUCACAUCUUAUUUAUGAAGCAGAAUUAUGAAAUGUGUUCGUAUAAUGUGUAUCUAUGUGUAUUUAUGAAGCAGAAUUAUGAAAUGCGUUUGUGUAA